rnacentral:rRNA from 1 species
UAAUACGUAGGGUGCGAGCGUUAUCCGGAAUUAUUGGGCGUAAAGAGCUCGUAGGCGGUUUGUCGCGUCUGUCGUGAAAGUCCGGGGCUUAACCCCGGAUCUGCGGUGGGUACGGGCAGACUAGAGUGCAGUAGGGGAGACUGGAAUUCCUGGUGUAGCGGUGGAAUGCGCAGAUAUCAGGAGGAACACCGAUGGCGAAGGCAGGUCUCUGGGCUGUAACUGACGCUGAGGAGCGAAAGCAUGGGGAGCGAACAGGAUUAGAUACCCUGGUAGUCCAUGCCGUAAACGUUGGGCACUAGGUGUGGGGACCAUUCCACGGUUUCCGCGCCGCAGCUAACGCAUUAAGUGCCCCGCCUGGGGAGUACGGCCGCAAGGCUAAAACUCAAAGGAAUUGACGGGGGCCCGCACAAGCGGCGGAGCAUGCGGAUUAAUUCGAUGCAACGCGAAGAACCUUACCAAGGCUUGACAUGUUCUCGAUCGCCGUAGAGAUACGGUUUCCCCUUUGGGGCGGGUUCACAGGUGGUGCAUGGUUGUCGUCAGCUCGUGUCGUGAGAUGUUGGGUUAAGUCCCGCAACGAGCGCAACCCUCGUUCCAUGUUGCCAGCACGUCGUGGUGGGGACUCAUGGGAGACUGCCGGGGUCAACUCGGAGGAAGGUGAGGACGACGUCAAAUCAUCAUGCCCCUUAUGUCUUGGGCUUCACGCAUGCUACAAUGGCCGGUACAAUGGGUUGCGAUACUGUGAGGUGGAGCUAAUCCCAAAAAGCCGGUCUCAGUUCGGAUUGGGGUCUGCAACUCGACCCCAUGAAGUCGGAGUCGCUAGUAAUCGCAGAUCAGCAAC